UCCGGACCCUCUCAAAGAAAGAAAAAAAAAUCCCCACGGCACCUACCGGAGCUCCUCGACCUGGGCGACGGGCGACCGAAAUCCCGACGAGAGUGGCCGGCCAACGCUCGCGGAAGAUAGGGCCCGUUGCUGCUCACGAAGGAUUCAGUCCGUUCUGGUCGGGGCCGACGGGCGAAGGCCCGGAGCGCCGCCAGGUCGUAGGCGCGCCACACCCUCCUUUCUCUCCCGAGGCGGCUUGCGGUGCGACGGAGCUCCGCAUCCUCCAAUCACUCCUGAGGCGGCUGAAAGCGUAGAGGAUGACAUCGGCGCACUCCUCUUCCUCUCGAGCCGGCGUGGUGCUUUGUAACCAACCUCUGAAUUUUCGAAUUUGCAUACAAGUACGAGGGCAACGAUGCAACCACGAGGAUGGGCAAUUUCCACCCCACCGGCUGGCCAGCAGUGUGAGAUCUCGACGGUCAGCGGCACCGUCGCUCCACUCGCUCCCGAGGCGGCUGGAAGCGCGGAGACGGACAUCAUCACACUCCUCCACCUCCAGCGAUGCUCUUUCCGUAACCUCCGGCUGGCGGCGCGGAGGAGCCCAAAGCUCAGACAGCUGAAGGCGUCGGGCAGGCAAGGUGAGUUGGUGCACGUGCAGGAGCUCACACCGGCCACAAGCCGUCGAUGCGGCAGAGGGGGCGGAGAUCGAGCAAGAUAAAAGUCUAAGGCAGCAGCCGUGAUAAGUUUGAUGGAGCGGCGCUGGGUCUGGAUGCGGGAGGAGCCAUGGUAGCACAAGUGUACUCUAUGGAGGGGACUAGAUGUGGUGGGUUUGGCUCUAGGAGAAGCCACCCGCUGCUCCUGAACGGUGACGAUGACAACAGUGUGCUCGACCACACGAUCUCCAUGCAUCCCCAUCUCUGGGAAAGGUUCAUAUGCCAUCGUGCACGGCAGCGGCCGGAACACAGCUGAAUAUGCAUUGUUAGCCAUAUCACAUGCCAGUUAUCUAACUGCAAUUUGGUGUAUAGGUAAAAGGGACAUUUCAUAUGAUGGGGUGAUCAAUGGACUGCACUUCAAACGAUGGGUGUAUUUCGGCAAAGCAGAGCCCAGCAUCUAUCAUCCAUGCCAUUUAUAAGCUGUUGCCGGAUACCUGAAGAGGCACAUAUUUUUUUUGCAAGGAUCCUUCAUUAUUCGAGGUAUGUAGUGUGUCAGUCAAAUGCUUACCUACUCUUUAUGCAAAUAUUCUCUCAAAUAGUUGUUGCCAAACAUUUUCUACAUUCGAAUUUAAUAUAACAAUUAUCUUCAAGGUUGUCCAGUAAUAUGUUUCAGUUUUCAUCACACAUAAUUGCCAAUUUUCCUUAGUACUUAACAAUAUGGUGGCAUCACUGCUGAAUACUUACAAGCUUUUUAGGCGCUAGCUAUGGGCCCAAAUCUUGAAUAAAAAAAUUGACCAGGAAGAUGAAUGUGCAACCUAAUUUUGGCCUAUUGAAGUUUUUUUUUCCUUGGGGGCCUUUUUUCAGUAUAAGCAGUAUGACACAUUAAACUAUAAUUAAUGCCAUAAUUUAUUUAGAUGUGUUUGACCAUGCUGAAAUCAAUGUUCUUUCUUAAUUUUAAGGUUUUGAAUGGUUUUCUUCUUUCUUUUGUAUGACCAGAUCACUAGGAUAGGUACUGUACAUAUUGGUUUACUUUGUAAUAACAUUGAUGUAUGCUGGUGAGUAUCCAUGCAUAUUUAACAUAGUUGGUACCUGGGAUAUAUGCUGUUGCAGAAGCCGUAUUCUUAUCAUGUAGUUAUGUUGCCAUUGAGUAGCAUAUUACCAAUUUAUUGUUGGUCAACGCAUGUUUUAAUUUACAUCCUCAAAUAAGUAUGGGUUGUAAAAUUAUGUUAGUAGUUGUUCAAAGGAAAGUGGCAAAUAUUUCUUCGUCAACGCAAUUAUAUCUGAUGGUUUAGCACAGCCUUCAAAACUAUAUUGGUGAAGGCCACAAAGUGGUUUUGAUUGAUUUGGAGUUUCAGUAUAAGUUGCAUGUCCUACGAUUGGAUUGAUAGUGUGAGUAGUCGGUCUUCCUUCCACUGACCAUGGCGGCUACACUGAUUUAGUAAGUGCGUUAUUCCUGACUCUAAUCCCCAACUUCUCAUACUUAUGUGUUCCUACAACGCUCGCUCUGUACAUUAGGUUAUGCAUUGUUCCUGGUACUAUGUUCAGGAGCCAUUAUUUAGGUUCUCUGUGAAAAAAAAAAUCAUAUGUAGUAAUCAAGAGUAUUUUCUUCCAGUCCUCUGUGUGUGUGUGUGUGUGGAUUUUAUGUGUGCUUAACAGUAGCAAAAUAGAACAAUAAUGAAAAAAAUACACAUCAUGUAUAGCUUUUCGAAUGUGAGCAAACAGAGUUAACCUUAAGGCACCACUUCACCUUUUCUUCCACAAUAGUGAGCAAACAGAGUUAACUAUCUGUCACCACUUCAUUGUUUUGGCUGAAUACAUAUAUUUGUCACAAAGAUUCUGGUUCCUGAGGUGAGAUUUCCGAGCAGUUUAUUUUCUUAUUUUCACUUCUGCUAUUGUUGCAAGAGAGGAAUAGUUAGGUUUUUUUCCAAUAUCAAAUGGGUACCUUUUUUCCUUUUGCUCAAUUUUUAUUCUUUCCUUAUACAAAUAAACUAAUGGAAAAUGAUUACUUCUCAUAGGUGUGGGUUCUUUAUGACAAAAAAAAACUUGCAUAUGUAGCUCAGAAUGGAGGGGAUCUACAUCUACCACGGUGGUCCAAUUUUGCUUAGGCGAAUGUACCCCAUCUUUGGCAACAGUGGGUGUGAAAGAGAGAUCAGCCACAUUGAGUAAGCCGCUUCGUGGAAGCACUGUUAGUAUAAUAUUUGGCCAUCAUCGAGCUAUUUGCUUUUAUUCUCGCUUUUGCUGCCCCAGUCACACUAUUCGCCGAUCACCUAUUGGUUAGCAUGAUGUUCUUAAUUGUUUGAAUUAUAUAUCAUCGGACUGCAGUGACACUACUAAGCACCUUAAUUAUUUUAAUCAGACUGUA